GUUCUAUUUAAUGACAAUGAAAAAUGUUAGCCUUUAGAGAUGUCCAUGAUUCCAUGAGUCCAUGAUCAUGGGGCUCAUGUUGGCCUUAACAAUACAAGAGCAAAAUUAAAAGGUUCUUUCUACUGGCUAGAAAUAACAAGCUAAGCUCCUUGGUUACAAGCGGUAAAAGAUAACCUUUUAGGUAAACUCAAUCUCUGAUGUUUGUUUGCAAAGACAAGUAAAUUCCAAUCUAGCAGAGGUAAACGUUAAGGGACAGAUUUAAAAACAAAGUAAAUGUAAAUUAAUUUUUAGCUAAUAAACUUUUAUAAUUUUAUUA